rnacentral:rRNA from 1 species
GACGAACGCUGGCGGCGUGCUUAACACAUGCAAGUCGAACGGUAAGGCCCUUCGGGGUACGCGAGUGGCGAACGGGUGAGUAACACGUGGGUGAUCUGCCCUGCACUUCGGGAUAAGCCUGGGAAACUGGGUCUAAUACCGGAUAGGACCACUGCCUGCAUGGGUGGUGGUGGAAAGCUUUUGCGGUGUGGGAUGGGCCCGCGGCCUAUCAGCUUGUUGGUGGGGUGAUGGCCUACCAAGGCGACGACGGGUAGCCGGCCGGAGAGGGUGACCGGCCAAGCUGGGACUGAGAUACGGCCCAGACUCCUACGGGAGGCAGGAGUGGGGAAUAUUGCACAAUGGGCGCAAGCCUGAUGCAGCGACGCCGCGUGAGGGAUGACGGCCUUCGGGUUGUAAACCUCUUUCAGCACCGACGAAGCGCAAGUGACGGUAGGUGCAGAAGAAGGACCGGCCAACUACGUGCCAGCCGCCGCGGUAA